CUGGCUGUGUGCCGCAUGGUGCUCGGUAACUUGCGGCCAAGGCUUGCAAAUGCGUGGCGUUGAAUGCAAAUCAUCCACCGGCAGUGCCGCCCACUUGGGAGACCCGCAUCCGUGCAGCCAUACGCGACGGGCAACUCUUAUGAUGGCGGUGGUACAGUUAUACUCGGCAGCAGCGGGCCACUCGCAGCGUCUGCGCCAUACCUUACCUUCCCUUCUCUAGCAGUUCGAUGAUGGUGAUCUCGACGUGGAGGAGGAUGAGGACAAUGAUGAUUCUGCGGAUGUUGACGAUGUCGACGACGAAGGCGUUGACGAAGCUGGCGAUGCCGGCAAUGAUAAUGCCGGUUUAGUGUUAUACAUACAACGAUGAUUCCGCACCGCAGUACGCACAUCGCUCGAUCAGUCAUUUGCAUCAUGAUGAGCUGCAACAGCCGCGUGCCGAACGCCUUACUAGCGGUGGUGUUGGAUAUGGUUAUCGCAGUAAAUCGGAUCCAGAAGCGCAGGUGCCUGCUGGCGUUCCAAGAUAUGUCUUUUCACAUAGAACCCGUCAAAAUAUGGAACCUCAUCUAAAUAGAGAAUACUAGUGAACCCGCAUGGCGUUGAAACGCCAAAAUUGAAUUUAACUUUUUAAACAGGUGAAAGCCUAUUCAAAAACCUCAACAAGAAUCCGAGUUCUUUAACUUGACUUCUCAUUUUGGAAAUUCGAAAUAACGUUGCUGAUGUGAUGACCUUCAA